CCCGCUGAGUUUAAGCAUAUCAAUAAGCGGAGGAAAAGAAACUAACAGGGAUUCCCUUAGUCACGGCGAGCGAACCGGGAAAAGCCCAGCUUAAAAUAUGACGUCUUUGGCGUUCGAAUUGUAGUCUGGAGAAGCGUCCUCAGCGACGGACCAGGCCCAAGUUCCCUGGAAAGGGGCACCAGAGAGGGUGAGAGCCCUGUCGUGCCCGGACCUUGUUGCACCACGAGGCGCUGUCUACGAGUCGGGUUGUUUGGGAAUGCAGCCCCAAUCAGGCGGUAAAUUCUGUCCAAGGCUAAAUAUGGGCGAGAGACCGAUAGCGAACAAGUACCGCGAGGUAAAGAUGAAAAGGACUUUGAAAAGAGAGUUAAAGAGUGCUUGAAAUUGUCGGGAGGGAAGCGGAUGGGGGCCGGCGAUUCGUCCCGGUCGGAUGCGGAAUGGAGCAAUCCGGUUCGCCGAUAGAUUCGUGCAGUGGACCAACACAGAUUAAGGUGGUGACCUAAGCCCGGGCUUUUGUUACGCCCGCAGAGACGUCGCUGCCUUAAUCGUGGUCUGCAGCACACGCCUCACAGAGUGCCUCGGCAUCUGCGUGCUCAGGGUGUCGGGCUGUGGGCUCCCCAUUCGACCCGUCUUGAAACACGGAACAAGGAGUUUGACAUGUGUGCGAGUCAACGGGUGAGUAAACCCGUAAGGCGCAAGGAAGCUGAUUGGCUGGAUCCCUCACGGGUGCACAACCGACUGACCUUGAUCUUCUGAGAAGGGUUCGAGUGUGAGCAUGCAUGUCGGGACCCGAAAGAUGGUGAACUAUGCCUGAGCGGGGUGAAGCCAGAGGAAACUCUGGUGAAUGCCCGCAGCGAUACUGAUGUGCAAAUCGUUCGCCUGAUUUGGGUAUAGGGGCGAAAGACUAAUCAAACCAUCUAGUGGCUGGUUCCCUCCAAAGUUUCCCUCAGGAUAGCUGGAGCUCGGAAACGAGUUCUAUUGGGUAAAGCCAAUGAUUAGAGGCAUCGGGACGCAAUGUCCUCGACCUAUUCUCAAAAUUUAAAUAGGUAGGACGGGGUGGCUGCUUUGUUGAGCCAUCCCACGGAAUCGAGAGCUCCAAGUGGGCCAAUUUUGGUAAGCAGAACUGCCGAUUCGGGAUGAACUGGAAGCUGGGUUACGUGUAACACCCGAAUCCGGCCUCUCGACAAAACUGGACCAGUUUUCUAUAUAAUCAAUCCUUUGCUUGUUUGAGUCAUUUUAAGUAUUUUAUUUACUAAGUCAUGUUCGAAUCUGAGGUUCUAAAACAAUUGAACAGAUAGCACAGCGGAAUAUAAAUGUGUAUAAAAUGUAUUACUUAGAAACAUGAGAUCCGAUACACAACUUCUUAAUCGUUUCAGAGACAAUCACUAGUUCAUC
rnacentral:rRNA from 1 species